UACGGAGGGAGCAAGCGUUACUCGGAAUUAUUGGGCGUAAAGGGCGCGUAGGCGAUCUGACAAGUCGGCUGUGAAAGCCCAGAGCUUAACUUUGGAAGAGCAGCUGAGACUGUUGGAAUUGAGUACAGGAGAGGAAGGCAGAAUUCCCGGUGUAGCGGUGAAAUGCGUAGAGAUCGGGAGGAAUACCAGUGGCGAAGGCAGCUCGCUGGGACGGUACUGACACUGAGGCGCGAAAGCGUGGGGAGCGAACAGG
rnacentral:rRNA from 1 species